AAAUCUGGUUGAUCCUGCCAGAGGCGACCGCUUUUGGAGUUCGAUUAAGCCAUGCGAGUAGAAAGAAAUUAGAUUCUUUGCAAACUGCUCAGUAACACGUGGAUAACCUGCCCUAUGCUCCGGAAUAACCUCGGGAAACUGAGAAUAAUACCGGAUAGAUCACAACGCCUGGAACGGUGUGUGGUUCAAAGAUUACGGCAUAGGAUGGGUCUGCGGCGUAUCAGGUCGUAGGGGGUGUAAAGGACCUCCUAGCCAUCGACGCGUACGGGUGUUGGGAGACAUAGCCCGGAGAUGGAUUCUGAGACACGAAUCCAGACCCUACGGGGUGCAGCAGGCGCGAAAACUUCACACUGC
rnacentral:rRNA from 1 species